rnacentral:rRNA from 1 species
AUUGAACGCUAGCGGUAGGCCUAACACAUGCAAGUCGAACGAGUGGCGGACGGGUGAGUAAUCUCUGGGAAACUGCCCGAUGGAGGGGGAUAACGACUCGAAACCGUAGCUAAUACCGCAUCCCAUCGGAGCUGCCCAUAUGGGAUUAGCUAGUAGGUGGGGUAAAGGCUGACCUAGGCGACGAUCCUUAGCUGGUGUGAGAGGACGACAAGCCACACGGGAACUGAGACACGGUCCAGACUCCUACGGGAGGCAGCAGUGGGGAAUAUUGAACAAUGGGCGCAAGCCUGAGGCAGCCAUGCCGCGUGUAUGAAGAAGGCCUUCGGUUUGUAAAGUACUUUCAGCGGAGAGGCGUUACCCGCAGAAGAAGCACCGGCUAACUCCGUGCCAGCAGCCGCGGUAAUAC